UACGCUGUGUUCAGCGGCGUGGAAAUGAUUUCUCCGUUGAAUCGAUUGAACCCGUGAGAUUUGUGCCACUCGUUCAGGGCGAGUUAGCCUGA
rnacentral:tRNA from 1 species